rnacentral:rRNA from 1 species
GACGAACGCUGGCGGCGUGCUUAACACAUGCAAGUCGAACGCUGAAGACCUGGCUUUUGUUGGGUUGGAUGAGUGGCGAACGGGUGAGUAACACGUGAGUAACCUGCCCUCUUCUUUGGGAUAACGCCCGGAAACGGGUGCUAAUACUGGAUAUUCACUGAUCUUCGCAUGGGGGUUGGUGGAAAGGGUUGUUCUGGUGGGGGAUGGGCUCGCGGCCUAUCAGCUUGUUGGUGGGGUGAUGGCCUACCAAGGCUUUGACGGGUAGCCGGCCUGAGAGGGUGACCGGUCACAUUGGGACUGAGAUACGGCCCAGACUCCUACGGGAGGCAGCAGUGGGGAAUAUUGCACAAUGGGCGAAAGCCUGAUGCAGCGACGCCGCGUGAGGGAUGGAGGCCUUCGGGUUGUAAACCUCUUUCGCUCAUGGUCAAGCCGCAACUGUGGGUUGUGGUGAGGGUAGUGGGUAAAGAAGCGCCGGCUAACUACGUG